rnacentral:siRNA from 1 species
AGGAGCAUUGUGUGCAAGACUAUU